GGGCCAGAAUUGGCCAUGGAGAGGAUGCCUCGAGUGGUGUGCUUCUUCUGGAAGCCUUCAUCGGCAAACUUGGGGCCGUAGAUGGACUCUCCACCAGUGCCAUUGCCCCGAGUGAAGUCUCCACCCUGGCACAUGAAGCCAGGAAUGACGCGAUGGAAGAUAGAACCCUUGUAGUGCAAGGGCUUCCCCGACUGCCCGAGCCCCUUCUCACCAGUGCAGAGGCACCUGAAAUUCUCUGCAGUCUUCGGGGUGACAUCGGCAAAUAGCUCCAUCACUAUCCGACCAGCCUUCGAGGUACCAAUCAGCAUGUCAAAGAAGACCUUAGGGUUCUUGGGUGUCAC
rnacentral:misc_RNA from 1 species